ensembl:lncRNA
GCCUGCGGGGCUGUGGGCGGGGCGGGCGGGGAGCUCAGGACUGGGCGGGGUGGGGGCAGCGGCUGAGACCAUCGAGCGUGGGGAGCACUCUCCUCCCUCUCCCCGGAGCGUGCACGGAGGAGGUGCCGGGAGCGUCACGUGGAUGGGAGCCCGGUGGGAGAGCUACCCCUUCGGACUGUAGUGACUCACUUUGUUUUGGUCAGUUCCCUACUGAACCCCCAAAGUCCGUGCACAAGGAAGGGAACACCUCCAGACCAGGACAAGGCGCGACCGCUAAAGGAACCCCCAAAUUUACCCCUGGAAUUCCUUUCCCGUGUGAAGUCUUAGCACCACGUCCGGGCGAACGAGCUCAGGCCCCACUGCUGGGUUCACACUGUCGUUGGUUUCGAGGAAGACCCGCCUUUCUCCACAGAGGAGGCCGAGGCCGGGGAGCCCUGGGACGGCAGACAGGAGGGCUGGGGGGCGGGAGAGGGUGUCUGCCACACUGGAAGGCCUGGACCCCCCUCCCAGAGGCCGAGCUGGUCUAUCUUCCAGGAGGAGGAAGUGUCCCCGCGCCGCCCCGGGCUCUUUUCGGAAACAGAGCGGAGGAACUGGCCGCACGUGCCUGUGACCACGCUGUCCGCGCAGCACCAGAGGGGGCAACGCCAGCCAUCCAGGUCAAGGCAGCGCUCCAGCGGAAACGCGUGACCCUGACCGGCAGGGCCCUUCCUCUGUCUUCCCCAGCCCAAACGGAAAGAGGAAUGUCAGAGCCAGAGCAAUUUCACAAGCCCAAGCCCCACUUCCUCUCUGAAGCUGUGACUACUCGACCGGGUGAUGGGUGACUGCCCUUUUCCUAAAGCAUCUGAACUUACUGCAAGCACCUUUUGGUCCACUGAGUCAUUCAUUCACUCAAGUUUCUAUCAUAAGAGCCACUGUGUUCAGGUACAGAGUCUAUGGGCAGGUCCUCCCGUGAUGAUGGAAAAGUUCUGCACAUGUGUCUCCAGUACACACCUGCUGAAUGCAGCCAGUAAGACUAAGGAACUAAACUUUAUAUUUGAUUUAAUGCUGCUGACCCAUCCUGCUCCAUCUUACAGGAAUGCCUUAUUUCUCAAGACUCUCCUACAUUUGAAUGAAUGAAUGAAAGAAUGAACAAACGUUACUAUUAAACCCUGAACACAACUGACACAGAGCAAUGAAAAUAUUUAUGCUGACAAUAGAAAGCACUUAAUUUCACUAUUUCAGGUCAUUAAAAAUACCCUUGUACAAUA